UGUAAGCGCAGCGAUGCGUUGAGCUAACCGAUACUAAUGAACCGAGAGGCUUAACCUUACAACACCGAAGGUGUUU
rnacentral:rRNA from 1 species